rnacentral:lncRNA from 1 species
AUUGUUUGAGUGUCCAAGGACAAUUGACACUAUAAAAUGUCCAGGGAGGUUGAAAUAAAAACAGUACGAGUGUUUAAGUAAGACAGUGUACCGGGAGCUCUCUGGACUAUACCUUUUAAAUAAAUAAAAAAAAACUUACAAUAAAAUGUUUGCCAAACUGAUGAUCUUAUUCGCCGUGCUAGCCCUGGCUUUGGCAAGGCCUCAACUGUACUCCCCCUACGGUAGCUACGGUAGCUACGGGGGCUACGCGUCCUCCUACCCCGGCUACUACGGGUACUCCGGCUACUCCAACCCCGUCGGGUACAGCUCCUACAACAACUACGGAGUAUCCCCCUUCAGCUACGGCUACGGUUACUACUGAACAUAAUAUAAUGCCCCCAAUGUCUACGCCUAAAUAUGUGAUGUACCUUUAUGUUAAUUUCAUGCAAUAUAUUACUUAUAUAUGUUAUGAUUAAAAUGGUCUUUUAUUUAAGAAUUUGAAUUGUACCCCAGAUAAUUAUAAUGGUGAAAAAAUGUAUAUGUAGUUUCUUGCCGGUUCUUCUCCAUGAGACCCAUUCAUUGAAAAAGUGCACCUAGGUAUUGAAGUUACGUAAGGACCUGUAAUAGGUGUAUAUUAAAUAAAAACUCCUGAAAAUCAGUAAAAAAUAAUCGUGAUUGUACAUGUAAAUAAACAUUUCAGGCAGUUGGGAUAAAGGAUAAAAAAUAAAUAUCUCAUAGCAACAUCUGACAGACCACAUAAUCCAAUUAAAUUAGAAAUUAAAAUAUAAAUGCGGAUUGUUUUAAAUGACUGUUGUAAAUUGAAUCGAUUAGCAAGUUGAAAUGAAAUGAAAUGAAAUGAAAUGAAAUGAAAUCGUUUAUUUUGCAAGUUGGACAUUACAUCACUUUUACACGUCAUUUUAAGAAUGCUGAGGUCGGCAUUUCCUAACUGACUGAUCCCUGAGAAGAAACGCCAAGAAGAAAGUUCAAGCUCAUACCUACAGUGUUUACGAUUAUUAAUAACAGACAAGGUGACAACAACAAUAUAGGUAUAAGCCUUAGGAACAGGACAGACAGAGAUGGUUGCCGCCUAACGCGGAUGUCGAUACCCGAUGUAUAUCAGUAUAUGGGGCAGGUACUAGCUUCAUACAUUACACUGAAGAUCAAGGACACUUUUUAUCUGACGACAAGUAAUCAAGGCGUGGUCGGUGAGGUCUGUAUAUAAGCCGGGACGGAUUGGCAAGCAGUAUCACUUGUGACAACAAUCCCAAGUAACUCUACAACCAUGUUCUUCAGACUGUUCGCCCUCUUCGCCGUGUUGGCCGUAGCUUUCGCCAACCCCAAGCCUGAGCCCCAGGUGGUGACCUACGCCGCCGGAGCUGCUGCGUACCCCUACGCCUACUCCGCUUACGCCCCAGUCGCCUACUCUGCUCCCUACGCCGCCGCUGCCUACCCCUACGGAGCAGCAUACUACGUCCGCUAAACCAGAUUCACCAGAUUUACCUACUUGCUCAAUGACACCGACCAAAUGUUUGAUCAUGUUUUAAUAUAAGUUUUUAUGGCAAA